rnacentral:lncRNA from 1 species
AAAAGCUUCUCUUAUUUCGUGGCUCUUAGGCCCUAUAUAUAGGAUUACAAGUUGUAGAAAUCCAAAGAAGAAUGUGCUAAAAACAAGACAUGGAAACUAGAAAUGAAGACUUUGACUAAAGACCGAAAUUAAUGAUUUUUGUUGAAUUCUUUUUCCCAUGCACGACCAAGACUUCCUUGCUGACUCCCUCUUGGCAUUCUUGAUGAGAAUGGGCUUG